rnacentral:tRNA from 1 species
GCCGGGGUAGCUCAGUGGCAGAGCAGCUGAUUCGUAAUCAGCAGGUCGUGGGUUCAACCCCCAUCCCCGGCUCCA